rnacentral:tRNA from 1 species
GUGGGCGUAGCUCAGUCGGUAGAGCACCUGAUUGUGGUUCAGGAGGUCGCGUGUUCGAGCCACGUCGCCCACC